AGAUGAAGCUAGCCUUCUCAGCUAGCCUUCAGAUUUGUCUGCUAACAGUAAAAAUACUAUAAUAAAUCGGUAACAUAUGUUGCCAGGCAAGGAAAAGUGAUAUAAAUAAAGAGACUGGGAGACCCAAACCAAAUUGCAUUCUUACCCAAAUACUCUUCGUGAUUGCCUGCUUUGCGGCUUUGGGAGUUGGGUCUUGCUGUUUUGCCCAGGUUGAUCUCAAUCUCCUUGCCUCAAGCAAUCUCUCUGCCUCAGCCUCCCCAAGUGCUGGGAUUACAGUGUCCUGAUGUCAAGGUGAAUGGGGUCAAUAGAGAGAGCAGCUGGUAGGAGCCAGUCUUUAGCUGAUUUCCUCCUCGAGUUGUGGGGGCUGCUGCCAAGUCAUUCGUCUCACCCUGUGUGUCUGUUAUAAUGUUGCAAAAGAAAACAGAAGUUUAUGUCCAUGCUGCAGAUAUAAAGGAUGAAGUUGUAGGGCAGGAAGUCUUAUGUAACUUGGAGCAGCUACUCAAUGGAAAUCACAAACAGAAUGAGUUUCAUCCACAUGUCAAGACACUACUACCAACAGAGCUAUUUCAGGACACCUACCUAAAUAACUAGCUGUCUCUUCCACUUAAAGCAAGAGCGUAUAAUGGAGUUAGGAUGACUGGAUACACAUGGAAUUAUCACUCUACCUUCAAAGGGGGAAUUUUGUGGGACAACUGGCACCUGCUGGACUGGGCUUCCCAAUGAAGGCUCUCUUGGCUGAGUGUAUAAUUUCAUUUACCUACUGUCGACAAAUUCCCUUUAAUCCUAACCACCACUUACGAGAAUAUUUACUAUCAAAAGGAGACAAAUCGCUAUUUAAAUGUGGAUUUACUCAAGUCUGAAACUAUGACAGUGACAUACAGUAAAAUGAUAAUAUGUAAAUAACAGCUGGAGACAGAUUUAUCUUCUGAGAAAGCUGGGCAGAGCAGUGGAUUAAAGUCAUAUGUGAUCUACUUUGAGUGGACUCAAUUCAGACACAGCGUUCAGUUAUGACCAACAACGCCAUUCAUUCUGCUUACUUCAAUUCAUUUGGCCCUAGUUCUCAAUGACCCUCUGUUACCAUGCAUACACCUCCGAUAAGUAGGCCUUGAUGUUUACAGCACUUUGGAGAAGAAUAAAUGCAAACUGCACAUUAUUUAUGGGUGUGCACUCUUAGCUUAAGAGGGAUUUGUCAGCAGUGUGAAUACAGGUAGAAUAAGUAGAUGUGUGUUAGGGCAGAUAGCCUGGUUUCCAGAAACUAAGUAGAAAGAAAGGAGCUAAAUAAAAUAUCACCCCAAGACAACAGCUUUCAAUUAUUGCCCAUGAUCCUGAAUUCCUCCCAAUGAAUUGAAAGGAAAUCUAUACCAGAUGGCAUUUUCCUGAAUCAGCCAAGUUCACCAGUCAUUCCCGCCUCUUAGUGAUGGGCAGCAGUGCCAAGGAAGAGCCGGCCUUUCAUUUUCUGCCUCUGCUCACCAGUCACAGAAAGCAACUUUGCUUUCUAGGGAUGAGUUUCCUAAUUGCACUGAAAUGUAAUUAGAACAGUUAGAAAUGGAGGGCCUUUUUUUCUAAAAAAGCAGAAAUCAAGCAAAUUGUGCCCUGUGUUCUUUGGCAGUGGUGGUCUAAUGAGCCUAAGCCAGAACUGGGAAAAUACUGAACACACAUUAUGUCACUUAUUGACAUGGUGAUAAUCUUCUCAAUUGAGAGUAGCUCAAAACAUGUAAAGUCACUCACAACUCUUAAAUGUAUGGAAGGUGGGGCAUAAAAAUCACUGUAUUGUAAUGCAGCAUUAGAAUACAUUGUAUUGAGCCCACUCAUAUAUUACAAGGGAGAGCUGGCCUAUGUUAAUCGCAGUCUUCCUUAAAUUAUCUUGUCCCAAGACACCAAGUCUGAGAAUGAAGACAAAUAUAUUCCAUUGAAAAAGCCAGAAUAGAUCUGAUACCUCUAACUUGAACAGUACAGUAUCUGAUAUUGGAGUGUUUGUAGGUUUCUUUUAGAAAAUUGUUCCCUGUAUAAUACCCAUAGGGUUGGAUCCAGUGUAUUCUUCAUUCACAACUAAAUAUGAGGAAGCUAAAAAAAAAACAGGGGUCCUACAUAUACUUCCUUCUGCCAAGGAAAAUAUAUUCAUGACAAAGAGACAAAUAUCCAGUUAAUUUAUUCAACUAAUUACUUUUUUAAUAUAUUUUCUCACCAUAUAGUAUAAUUUUAUUAGUGGAUAAAUUAUUUUAUUGUGUUG
ensembl:lncRNA LINC01798 long intergenic non-protein coding RNA 1798